rnacentral:rRNA from 1 species
UACGUAGGGUGCAAGCGUUAAUCGGAAUUACUGGGCGUAAAGCGUGCGCAGGCGGUUUUGUAAGUCUGUCGUGAAAUCCCCGGGCUCAACCUGGGAAUUGCGUUGGAGACUGCAAGGCUAGAAUCUGGCAGAGGGGGGUAGAAUUCCACGUGUGAGCAGUGAAAUGCGUAGAGAUGUGGAGGAACACCGAUGGCGAAGGCAGCCCCCUGGGUCAAGAUUGACGCUCAUGCACGAAAGCGUGGGGAGCAACAGG